rnacentral:rRNA from 1 species
GGUAAAGUUAGUGGCGGACGGGUGAGUAACACGUGAGCAACUUGCCUCGAAAUGGGGGAUAGCUUCGAGAAAUUGAAGGUAAUACCGCAUAACAUACGGAAUCGCAUGAUUUUGUAUUGAAAGGAUUUAUUCGAUUCGAGAUAGGCUCGCGUCUGAUUAGGUAGUUGGUGAGGUAACGGCUCACCAAGCCGACGAUCAGUAGCCGAACUGAGAGGUUGAUCGGCCACAUUGGGACUGAGAUACGGCCCAGACUCCUACGGGAGGCAGCAGUGGGGAAUAUUGCACAAUGGGGGAAACCCUGAUGCAGCGAUGCCGCGUGGAGGAAGAAGGUUUUCGGAUUGUAAACUCCUGUCUUAAGGGAAGAAAAGGACGGUACCUUAGGAGGAAGCUCCGGCUAACUACGUGCCAGCAGCCGCGGUAAUACGUAGGGAGCGAGCGUUGUCCGGAAUUAUUGGGUAUAAAGGGAGCGCAGGCGGGCAUGCAAGUCAGAUUUUAAAGUUCGGGGCUCAACCCCGUGAUGGGUCUGAAACUGCAAGUCUUGAGUGAAGUAGAGGUAAGCGGAAUUCCUGGUGUAGCGGUGAAAUGCGUAGAGAUCAGGAGGAACAUCGGUGGCGAAGGCGGCUUACUGGGCUUUAACUGACGCUGAGGCUCGAAAGUGUGGGGAGCAAACAGGAUUAGAUACCCUGGUAGUCCACACCGUAAACGAUGAUUACUAGGUGUGGGGCAGUAAGACUGUUCCGUGCCGCAGCAAAUGCAAUAAGUAAUCCACCUGGGGAGUACGGUCGCAAGACUGAAACUCAAAGGAAUUGACGGGGGCCCGCACAAGCAGUGGAGUAUGUGGUUUAAUUCGAAGCAACGCGAAGAACCUUACCAGGUCUUGACAUCCGAUGAAUAUCAUAGAGAUAUGAGAAGUCUCUUCGGAGACAUCGAGACAGGUGGUGCAUGGUUGUCGUCAGCUCGUGUCGUGAGAUGUUAGGUUAAGUCCUGCAACGAGCGCAACCCUUAUUACUAGUUGCUACAUUUAGUUGAGCACUCUAGUGAGACUGCCGUUGAUAAAACGGAGGAAGGUGGGGACGACGUCAAAUCAUCAUGCCCUUUAUGACCUGGGCUACACACGUACUACAAUGGCAAUAUAACAGAGGGAAGCAAGCAUGUGAGUGUGAGCAAAUCCCUAAAAAUUGUCCCAGUUCAGAUUGCAGGCUGAAACCCGCCUGCAUGAAGGUGGAAUUGCUAGUAAUCGCAGAUCAGCAUGCUGCGGUGAAUACGUUCCCGGGCCUUGUACACACCGCCCGUCACACCAUGGGAGUUGGCAACACCCGAAGCCGAUAGUCGAACCGCAAGGAGG